GCCUUACAGCACCAUGAUGGUAGCUCAGUUGGUACAGUAUAAGACUCUUAAUCUCUGGGUCUUGGGUUUGAGACCCAAACUGGGCA